rnacentral:sRNA from 1 species
CCCGGCAAUGAAUUGCCGGGCUGUUCUCAGUUGUCCCUACGGGACA